GCUCUGAUCUAUUAUUUGAAUUGCAAAUUCAAAGAAGCAGUUUCAAACGCUGCCGGGGCUU
rnacentral:tRNA from 1 species